rnacentral:misc_RNA from 1 species
GUAUUAACUUUUUUGAUUUGUAAUGACAACAUUUGUUACAAGCGUAAAAAAAGGGUACGGUUCACAAAGUGUGUAAAUGAAGAUUACUGCCGAGCUCGAGGGCUGCGACAAAAUUCAAUAAUGAUCCUUCCGCAGGUUCACCUACGGAAA